rnacentral:rRNA from 1 species
CCUACGGGAGGCAGCAGUAAGGAAUAUUGGUCAAUGGACGGAAGUCUGAACCAGCCAUCCCGCGUGCAGGAUGAAAGUCCUAUGGAUUGUAAACUGCUUUUAGCAGAGGCGAAGACCUGACAUUUAUGUUGGAGUGACGGUAUCUGCAGAAUAAGCACCGGCUAACUCCGUGCCAGCAGCCGCGGUAAU